rnacentral:rRNA from 1 species
GACGAACGCUGGCGGCGUGCUUAACACAUGCAAGUCGAGCGGUAAGGCCCUUUCGGGGGUACACGAGCGGCGAACGGGUGAGUAACACGUGAGUGACCUGCCCUCAGCUCUGGGAUAAGCCUGGGAAACCGGGUCUAAUAUUGGAUAUGACUCCAUGACGCAUGUUGUGGGGUGGAAAGCCUUGUGCGGCUGAGGAUGGGCCCGCGGCCUAUCAGCUUGUUGGUGGGGUGAUGGCCUACCAAGGCGACGACGGGUAGCCGGCCUGAGAGGGCGACCGGCCACACUGGGACUGAGACACGGCCCAGACUCCUACGGGAGGCAGCAGUGGGGGAAUCUUGCGCAAUGGGCGAAAGCCUGACGCAGCGACGCCGCGUGAGGGAUGACGGCCU